GAUUCACCAGGUGCACCGCUGAAUGAAG
rnacentral:sRNA from 1 species